rnacentral:rRNA from 1 species
AGAGUUUGAUCCUGGCUCAGGAUGAACGCUAGCGGGAGGCCUAACACAUGCAAGCCGAGCGGUAGAGAUUCUUCGGAAUCUUGAGAGCGGCGUACGGGUGCGGAACACGUGUGCAACCUACCUUUAUCUGGAGGAUAGCCUUUCGAAAGGAAGAUUAAUACUCCAUAAUAUAUUGAUUGGCAUCAGUUGAUAUUGAAAGCUCCGGCGGAUAGAGAUGGGCACGCGCAAGAUUAGUUAGUUGGUGAGGUAACGGCUCACCAAGACGAUGAUCUUUAGGGGCCUGAGAGGGUGAUCCCCCACACUGGUACUGAGACACGGACCAGACUCCUACGGGAGGCAGCAGUGAGGAAUAUUGGUCAAUGGGUGCAAGCCUGAACCAGCCAUCCCGCGUGAAGGACGACUGCCCUAUGGGUUGUAAACUUCUUUUGUAUAGGGAUAAACCUACCCUCGUGAGGGUACGCUGAAGGUACUAUACGAAUAAGCACCGGCUAACUCCGUG